AUUUAACGCUGGCGGCAUGCUUUACCCAUGCAAGUCGAACGGCAGCCCGGGCUUCGGCCUGGCUGCGAGUUGCGAACGGGCGAGUAAUGCAUCGGAACCUGCCCAGCAGUAUGGGAUAGCCCGCCGAAAGCCGGAUUUAUACCGCACACGACCUGCGGGUCAAAGCGGGGGACCGAAAGGCCUCUCGCUAUCAGACCGGCCGAUGUCGGUUUAGCUAGUCGGUCGGGUAUAGGCAUACCAAGGCGACUAUCCGUAGCUGGUCUGAGGGGACGACCAGCCCCACUGGGACUGAGACACGGCCCAGACUCCUACGGGAGGCAGCAGUGGGGAAUUUUGGACAGUGGGGACAACCCUGAUCCAGCCAUGCCGCGUGCGGCAAGAAGGCCUUCGGGUUGUAAACCGCUUUUGUUCGGGAAGAAAUCCUCUGGGCUAAUACCCCGGGGGGAUGACGGUACCGAAAGAAUAAGCACCGGCUAACUACGUG
rnacentral:rRNA from 1 species